rnacentral:rRNA from 1 species
UACGUAGGGUGCGAGCGUUAAUCGGAAUUACUGGGCGUAAAGCGUGCGCAGGCGGUUUAGUAAGCCAGAUGUGAAAUCCCCGGGCUUAACCUGGGAAUGGCAUUUGGGACUGCAAGGCUAGAGUGCGGCAGAGGGGACUGGAAUUCCUGGUGUAGCAGUGAAAUGCGUAGAUAUCAGGAGGAAUACCGAUGGCGAAGGCAGGUCCCUGGGUUGACACUGACGCUCAUGCACGAAAGCGUGGGGAGCAAACAGG